UACACACCGCCCGUCACACCAUGAGAGUUGGGAAUACCCGAAGCCUGUGAGCUAACUGUAAAGAGGCAGCAGUCGAAGGUAGAAUCAAUGAUUGGGGUGAAGUCGUAACAAGGUACC
rnacentral:rRNA from 1 species